rnacentral:rRNA from 1 species
AUUAGUUCUUUAAUUGAGAACUGGAAUGAAAGGCUGAACAAGAAGCUAGCUGUCUCUGUAUAAAACCUUGAAUUUAACUUUUAAGUGAAAAGGCUUAAAUAAGCUAGGGGGACGAUAAGACCCUAUGAAUCUUUAUGCCUGAGCUUGUGGGGCAAAAGAGUGUUAAAGUUUUGCCAAACAUUGUCGGGUAUUUUGUUGGGGCGACAGGAGCAUAAAAGUUAACUGCUCUAAAUUUAUAGUUAGUGAUAUUUAGUUAAGUGAUCCUCUAAUAGGGAUAUUAGUCUAAGUUACUCUAGGGAUAACAGCGUAAUUUUUUUUGAGAGUUCAUAUCGAGAAAAAAGUUUGCGACCUCGAUGUUGAAUUAAAGAUCCUUUGCGGCGGAGAAGCCGUGAAAGGAGGUCUGUUCGACCUUUAAACCUUUA